CCUACGGGCGGCAGCAGUGAGGAAUAUUGGUCAAUGGGCGCAAGCCUGAACCAGCCAUGCCGCGUGCAGGAAGACGGCUCUAUGAGUUGUAAACUGCUUUUGCACGGGGGUAAACGCAGAUACGCGUAUCUGUCUGAGAGAAUCGUACGAAUAAGGAACGGCUAACUCCGUGCCAGCAGCCGCGGGAAUACGGAGGAUUUAAGCGUUAUCCGGAGUUAUUGGGUUUAAAGGGUGGGUAGGCGGUCGGAUAAGUUAGAGGUGAAAUCCCUGGGCUCAACCUCGGACUUGCCUUUGAUACUGUUCUGCUAGAGAGUAGUUGAGGUAGGCGGAAUGUAUGGUGUAGCGGUGAAAUGCUUAGAGAUCAUACAGAACACCGAUUGCGAAGGCAGCUUACCAGGCUACUUCUGACGUUGAGGCACGAAAGCGUGGGGAGCAAACAGGAUUAGAUACCCUUGUAGUC
rnacentral:rRNA from 1 species